GAUUAUGGCUCAGGAUGAACGCUGGCGGCGUGCUUAACAUGCAAGUCGAACGGGUUUUAGCGAGAGCUUGCUUUUGCUAAAACUAGUGGCGGACGGGUGAGUAACGCGUGAGUAACCUGCCUUAGACGUGGGGGAUAACACUUAGAAAUAGGUGCUAAUACCGCAUAAGCGCACAGUGCCGCAUGGCACAGUGUAGAAAAACUCCGGUGGUCUAAAGAUGGACUCGCGUCUGAUUAGCUAGUUGGUGAGGUAACGGCCCACCAAGGCGACGAUCAGUAGCCGGCCUGAGGAGGGUGAACGGCCACAGUUGGGACUGAGACACCGGCCCAGACUCCGUACGGGAGGCAGCAGGUGGGGAAUAUUGCACAAUGGGGGAAACCCUGAUGCAGCGAACCGCCGCGUGAAGGAAGAAGUAUCUCGGUAUGUAAACUUCUAUCAGCAGGGAAGAUGAUGACGGUACCUGACUAAGAAGCCCCGGCUAACUACGUGCCAGCAGCAGC
rnacentral:rRNA from 1 species